rnacentral:rRNA from 1 species
AACACAUGCAAGUCGAGCGGUAAGGCUCCUUCGGGAGUACACGAGCGGCGAACGGGUGAGUAACACGUGAGCAAUCUGCCCUUCACUUUGGGAUAACUUCCGGAAACGGAAGCUAAUACCGAAUACGACCAUUACAGACAUCUGUUGAUGGUGGAAAGUUCCGGCGGUGAAGGAUGAGCUCGCGGCCUAUCAGCUAGUUGGUGGGGUCAUAGCCCACCAAGGCGACGACGGGUAGCCGGCCUGAGAGGGUGACCGGCCACACUGGGACUGAGACACGGCCCAGACUCCUACGGGAGGCAGCAGUGGGGAAUAUUGGACAAUGGGCGAAAGCCUGAUCCAGCAACGCCGCGUGAGGGAUGACGGCCUUCGGGUUGUAAACCUCUUUCAGCAGGGACGAAGCGAAAGUGACGGUACCUGCAAAAGAAGCACCGG